rnacentral:rRNA from 1 species
GAUGAACGCUGGCGGCGUGCCUAAUACAUGCAAGUCGAGCGAACAGACGAGGAGCUUGCUCCUCUGACGUUAGCGGCGGACGGGUGAGUAACACGUGGAUAACCUACCUAUAAGACUGGGAUAACUUCGGGAAACCGGAGCUAAUACCGGAUAAUAUAUUGAACCGCAUGGUUCAAUAGUGAAAGACGGUUUUGCUGUCACUUAUAGAUGGAUCCGCGCCGCAUUAGCUAGUUGGUAAGGUAACGGCUUACCAAGGCAACGAUGCGUAGCCGACCUGAGAGGGUGAUCGGGCACACUGGAACUGAGACACGGUCCAGACUCCUACGGGAGGCAGCAGUAGGGAAUCUUACGCAAUGGGCGAAAGCUUGACGGAGCAACGCCGCGUGAGUGAUGAAGGUCUUCGGAUCGUAAAACUCUGUUAUUAGGGAAGAACAAAUGUGUAAGUAACUAUGCACGUCUUGACGGUACCUAAUCAGAAAGCCACGGCUAACUACGUG